UUUCGUGUACAUUUUAUUUUUUGUUACGAAAGAUUUGUCGUACGACUUAAUUUUUUAUGUUGGAAAACCGCGCCAUACUCGAUGUAUGCACAACUCUGAUUCUCUGUAUCGAGGCUUGUAAUCCACAGUCUUUUUACCGUCGUCUGAGACGGUUAUCUGUCUCCCAAAUAAACUGAUUUCACCGACA